rnacentral:rRNA from 1 species
GCGUGGAGCAUGUGGCUUAAUUUGACUCAACGCGGGAAAUCUUACCGGGUCCGGACACACUGAGGAUUGACAGGCAAAAGAUACAAAUUUUUUCGGGAAUUUGCAUUGUAAAAUAUGCGAGUCCUUUCAUGAUUAUGUGAUAGGUGGUGCAUGGCCGUUCUUAGUUCGUGGAGUGAUCUGUCUGCUUAAUUGCGUUUCACUACGAUUUAAAAUAUUAUGUUUGUUUGUUUGCUGUUCAGUGUUUCGGCACUUUGAACGCACAACACAUAAUUCCAAACAAUCGGAAAGCAACGAACGUGACCGCAACCUCUUGUUGCCUUUAUUUUUAAAGUAUAAUAUUUUUUCUCUUUCGGGAGAAAUAUUUAUUGUAUUGAAAAAGGCUUUAAAACUAGAGGGACCGCUGUUCUUAUUUCUAAAACCAGAGGAAGAUUGCGGCAAUAACAGGUCUGUGAUGCC